AGGUUCCGGCCCCACCAACGGUCCGCGCCUGCGCAGGGCGGCCCCGCACCGGGCUCCCCGCGGAGGGGCGCCCCCGGCUGGCCGCGCAGUGGAGAGACGCUGCAGAGAAGCUGGGAGGGAAGCACUAACGCGCGUCUCGCCCAGGAGAGCGGUCGGUGGGCUCGAAUUGGACAUUCCCAGCGCCUCGCUGGUCCCAUGGAAAUGGAGAAAUAGCUUCGGGAAGGAAGUCUGAGAUCAGGGGGACAGCUGGUUUGGUUUCUUCUGAGGCCUCUCUCCUUGGCUUGCAGACAGCUGCCUUCCUCCUGUGUCUUCCCUCUGCACAGUACACGGUCUCUCACUGUUGUGGCCUCUCCCAUUGCGGAGCACAGGCUCCAGACGCGCAGGCUUCAGUGGCCAUGGCUCACGGGCCUAGCCGCUCCGUGGCACGUGGGAUCUUCCCGGACUGGGGCACGAAC